rnacentral:rRNA from 1 species
AGCAGCCGCGGUAACUCCAGCUCCAAUAGCGUAUAUUAAAGUUGUUGCAGUUAAAAAGCUCGUAGUUGAAUUUCGGGGUUAGUAGAUUGGUCAUGCCUCUGGUUUGUACUGGUCUCACUGGUUCCUCCUUCCUGAUGAACCUUAAUGCCAUUAAUUUGGUGUUUUGGGGAAUUUGGACUGUUACUUUGAAAAAAUUAGAGUGUUUAAAGCAAGCUAACGCUUGAAUACAUUAGCAUGGAAUAAUGAAAUAGGACGUUCGAUCCUAUUUUGUUGGUUUCUAGGAUUGACGUAAUGAUUAAUAGGGAUAGUUGGGGGCAUUAGUAUUCAAUUGUCAGAGGUGAAAUUCUUGGAUUUAUUGAAGACUAACUACUGCGAAAGCAUUUGCCAAGGAUGUUUUCAUUAAUCAAGAACGAAAGUUAGGGGAUCGAAGACGAUCAGGUACCGUCGUAGUCUUAACCAUAAACUAUGCCGACUAGGGAUCGGAUGAUGUUAAUUUUUUAAUGACUCA